ensembl:lncRNA
GGAGAGGGGAGAGGAGGGAUGGAGAGGAGAGGAGGGAUGGAGAGGAGGGAUGAAGAGGAGGGAUGGAGAGGAGGGAUGGAAGCAGGGGAAGUGUUUGAGAUGUUCUAGAAGUGAAAGACAUUUUGGAAUCUUUCUGUCCCUUGUCUCUUCCUCUCCUCCCCUUCCUCUCCUCUCAUCCACCACUGACGCUUGCUGCCUGUCGCUCCCUCUCCUCCCUCUUCCUCUCUUCUCCUCCCCCUUCCUCUCCUCUCCUCCUCCGCUGACGCUUGCAGCCUCUCUCUUCGUCUCCUUCCUCUCCUCUCCUCCCCCUUCCUCUCCUCUCAUCCACCACUGACACUUGCUGCCUGUCGCUCCCUCUCCUCCCUCUUCCUCUCUUCUCCUCCCCCUUCCUCUCCUCUCCUCCUCUGCUGACGCUUGUAGCCUCUCUCUCCUCCCCCUUCCUCUCCUCUCCUCCCCCCCUUCCUCUCCUCUCCUCCCCCUUCCUGUCCUCUCCUCCCCCUUCCUCUCCUCUCCUCCCCCUUCCUCUCCUUCACCGCUGACUCUUGCUGCCUGUCCAUCUUGGUUUAAUGUACCCCCUCAAUGUGUAUAUUCACCAUGAUUGUUAAAAUAAACAUUCCAACACUUCUAAUAAAUAAAAAAUAAGGAGAAAUGUACCUUUUUUAUUUUUUAUUUUUUUUGUGAUAAUUGAUAGUCAGGUUGGGAGGGGGUACAACUCUUUUGGUAGUGAGGGUGAAUUUAAAAGUUUUUCAAAAUGUUCUGUGUUGAAUGCUCUGUGUUUUAUGUACGGUUCACAGAACCAUUGGGUACUAUAGGGGAGAAGACCACUUUUUUAAAGUUCCAGGGUUCUUUGAGACCCGAAAAGUUGUCUUUAUAAUAUCCCAAUUUACAUAUAUUUAUGUACAUCGGGGCAUAAAAUAAUAGUUUGGUUUCAUCUGUGUGUGUCCAAUGAUCUUAGUAGUAAUCUGGUCUAUAUCUGGUCUGGGAAACAGCCCAGUAUGUGUGUUGUCCUGAUGAGAAGACGUUUUUAAAGUGCUUUUAAACGCUGAGUUUAAAGUUUUAAAUGAUUUUUUAAAAAGUGAUUCCACUUUUAUCACUCUGUUUUUAUUCACUUUGUAAAUAGUUUAUAGUGUCACCUUAUCUGUUCAAUCAAGGGUUCUCAAUCCUGGUCCCGGGGACCCGAAGGGGGACACAUUUUUACUUGUUCCUGAUUUUAAGAUUAUCAACUGAUAAUCGAGCUUGGAUGAUUUGAAUCAGGUGUGUAGUGCGAGAGCAAAAACAGAAAAUGUGUCCCCCUUUGGAUCCCCAGGACCAGGUUUGAGAACCACUGUAUUCGCUAGCUAGGUGACUCUACUAUGUUCUUGAACACGGCCAGAGAAUUCUACUGUAGAACACUAGAAGUUCUAGAACAUGGCCAGAGAAUUCUACUGUAGAACACUAGAAGUUCUAGAACAUGGCCAGAGAAUUCUACUGUAGAACACUAGAAGUUCUAGAACAUGACCAGAGAAUUCUACUGUAGAACACUAGCAGUUCUAGAACAUGACCAGAGAAUUCUACUGUAGAACACUAGAAGUUCUAGAACAUGACCAGAGAAUUCUACUGUAGAACACUAGAAGUUCUUGAACACGGCCAGAGAAUUCUACUGUAGAACACUAGAAGUUCUAGAACAUGACCAGUGGUUCUAUGUAAAACAUGCUGAAGAGUUCCAUUGACUUUGUGUCCAUGUAUCAGAUAAGAUCUAAAUGAAACAUAAAGACCGAGCCAGAAGGUUGCUCUUGGCUCACUAUAACACUGUUAGCCAAUUUCCUACCCGGGAGACUCAGCCUGGGGGCUUAUUCAGUUUAGCCUAGAGGGCAGCUUCACAUUUCUCUCCACACACUGUAGACCGUGUGGCAACUCUUCUCCCUUUCCUCCCCUCAGGCCUUCUUUAAGGCUGUCGACUGCCAUCCUGUCUUACAUACAUCCAUCCACCCUUCUCUCCCUCCAUCCCUCCACCCUUCUCUCCCUCCAUCCCUCCACCCUUCUCUCCCUCCAUCCCUCCACCCUUCUCUCCCUCCACCCUUCUCUCCCUUCUCUCCCUCCACCCUUCUCUCCCUUCAUCCCUCUACCCUUCUCUCCCUCCAUCCCUCCACCCUUCUCUCCCUCCAUCCUUCUCUCACUCCAUCCCUCCAUCCCUCCAUCCUUCUCUCCCUCCAUCCCUCCAUCCUUCUCUCCCUCCAUCCCUCCACCCUUCUCUCCCUCCAUCCUUCUCUCCCUUCACCCCUCCACCUUUCUCCCCUUUAAGAGUUUCUCUCUGAGCCCCAAGACACUUAAGAGAGAGUUAGAGAGGGAUACUGUAGGAUUCAUCCCAAAUGACACCCUUCUCCCUAUAUAGUGCACUACUUUUGACCAGGGUCCAUAUAGCCAUAGUCUAAAGUAGUGCACU